AACCUCUCAGGGUCACACCUGGAGAGUUUCCAGUACUCUACCAGUCUCGGCUACAGGAGGGAGAAUCAAGCAGAGGCCUACCCAUUCUAUUCCCAGCUUGGGCAGUGGCUAGCGAGUGGAAGACAGUCCGCUACAAGU